rnacentral:rRNA from 1 species
CCUACGGGAGGCAGCAGUGGGGAAUAUUGGGCAAUGGGCGCAAGCCUGACCCAGCAACGCCGCGUGAAGGAAGAAGGCUUUCGGGUUGUAAACUUCUUUUCUCAGGGACGAAGAAAGUGACGGUACCUGAGGAAUAAGCCACGGCUAACUACGUGCCAGCAGCCGCGGGAAUACGUAGGUGGCAAGCGUUAUCCGGAUUUAUUGGGUGUAAAGGGCGUGUAGGCGGGAGCGCAAGUCAGAUGUGAAAACUCAGGGCUCAACCCUGAGCCUGCAUUUGAAACUGUGUUUCUUGAGUGCUGGAGAGGCAAGCGGAAUUCCGGGUGUAGCGGUGAAAUGCGUAGAUAUACGGAGGAACACCAGUGGCGAAGGCGGAUUGCUGGACAGCAACUGACGCUGAGGCGCGAAAGCGUGGGGAGCAAACAGGAUUAGAUACCCGAGUAGUC